GUAUAUAGCUCAGUUGGUAGAGUGUUUGCCUAGCUUGCAUAAGGCCCUGGGUUCAAUCUCCAGCAUCACA
rnacentral:tRNA from 1 species